GGGUCAGUAGGUUGGUCGUGCCACCGGUACGUACUGGUCUCACUGAUUCCUCCUUCCUGAAGAACCGUAAUGCCAUUAAUUUGGUGUUGCGGGGAAACAGGACCGUUACUUUGAAAAAAGUAGAGUGUUUAAAGCAAGCUAACGCUUGAAUACAUUAGCAUGGAAUAAUGAAAUAGGUCGAUCGAUCCUAUUUUGUUGGUUUCUAGGAUUGACGUA
rnacentral:rRNA from 1 species